GAGUUUGAUCAUGGCUCAGGAUGAACGCUGGCGGCGUGCCUAAUACAUGCAAGUCGAGCGAACAGACGGGGAGCUUGCUCCCCUGACGUUAGCGGCGGACGGGUGAGUAACACGUGGGUAACCUACCUAUAAGACUGGAAUAACUCCGGGAAACCGGGGCUAAUGCCGGAUAACAUGUUGGACCGCAUGGUCCUACAGUGAAAGACGGUCUUGCUGUCACUUAUAGGUGGACCCGCGCCGUAUUAGCUAGUUGGUAAGGUAACGGCUUACCAAGGCAACGAUACGUAGCCGACCUGAGAGGGUGAUCGGCCACACUGGAACUGAGACACGGUCCAGACUCCUACGGGAGGCAGCAGUAGGGAAUCUUCCGCAAUGGGCGAAAGCCUGACGGAGCAACGCCGCGUGAGUGAUGAAGGCCUUC
rnacentral:rRNA from 1 species